rnacentral:misc_RNA from 1 species
AACCCCUCAAGCACCGCUUGAUGUUGGGCGUUUGUCCCGCCCCCGCGCGCGGACUCGCCUCGAAGACAUUGGCGGCCUGUGUAUUGGCUACGAGCGCAGCAGACCCGCGCCUCGUCCCCUCCGCGCAGGCGCCCAGGAAGCGUAACCCCCCAAUU